rnacentral:rRNA from 1 species
CCUACGGGAGGCAGCAGUGAGGAAUAUUGGUCAAUGGACGAGAGUCUGAACCAGCCAAGUAGCGUGAAGGAUGACUGCCCUAUGGGUUGUAAACUUCUUUUAUAAAGGAAUAAAACGAGGCACGUGUGCCGUUUUGCAUGUACUUUAUGAAUAAGGAUCGGCUAACUCCGUGCCAGCAGCCGCGGUAAUACGGAGGAUCCGAGCGUUAUCCGGAUUUAUUGGGUUUAAAGGGAGCGUAGAUGGGUUGUUAAGUCAGUUGUGAAAGUUUGCGGCUCAACCGUCAAAUUGCAAUUGAUACUGGCAGUCUUGAGUACAGUUGAGGUAGGCGGAAUUCGUGGUGUAGCGGUGAAAUGCUUAGAUAUCACGAAGAACCCCGAUUGCGAAGGCAGCUUACUAAACUGUGACUGACAUUGAUGCUCGAAAGUGUGGGUAUCAAACAGGAUUAGAUACCCCGGUAGUC